rnacentral:rRNA from 1 species
UACGUAGGGGGCUAGCGUUGUCCGGAUUUAUUGGGCGUAAAGAGCGUGUAGGCGGCCAGGUAGGUCUGCUGUGAAAACUCGAGGCUCAACCUCGAGACGUCGGCGGAAACCAUCUGACUAGAGUCCGGAAGAGGAGAGUGGAAUUCCUGGUGUAGCGGUGAAAUGCGCAGAUAUCAGGAAGAACACCCGUGGCUAAGGCGGCUCUCUAGUACGGUACUGACGCUGAGACGCGAAAGCGUGGGGAGCGAACAGG